GACGAACGUUGGCGGCGUGCUUAACACAUGCAAGUCGAACGGAAAGGCCCUGCUUUUGUGGGGUGCUCGAGUGGCGAACGGGUGAGUAACACGUGAGUAACCUGCCCUUGACUUUGGGAUAACUUCAGGAAACUGGGGCUAAUACCGGAUAGGAGCUCCUGCUGCAUGGUGGGGGUUGGAAAGUUUCGGCGGUUGGGGAUGGACUCGCGGCUUAUCAGCUUGUUGGUGGGGUAGUGGCUUACCAAGGCUUUGACGGGUAGCCGGCCUGAGAGGGUGACCGGCCACAUUGGGACUGAGAUACGGCCCAGACUCCUACGGGAGGCAGCAGUGGGGAAUAUUGCACAAUGGGCGGAAGCCUGAUGCAGCAACGCCGCGUGCGGGAUGACGGCCUUCGGGUUGUAAACCGCUUUCGCCUGUGACGAAGCGUGAGUGACGGUAAUGGGUAAAGAAGCACCGGCUAACUACGUGCCAGCAGCCGCGGUGAUACGUAGGGUGCGAGCGUUGUCCGGAUUUAUUGGGCGUAAAGGGCUCGUAGGUGGUUGAUCGCGUCGGAAGUGUAAUCUUGGGGCUUAACCCUGAGCGUGCUUUCGAUACGGGUUGACUUGAGGAAGGUAGGGGAGAAUGGAAUUCCUGGUGGAGCGGUGGAAUGCGCAGAUAUCAGGAGGAACACCAGUGGCGAAGGCGGUUCUCUGGGCCUUUCCUGACGCUGAGGAGCGAAAGCGUGGGGAGCGAACAGGCUUAGAUACCCUGGUAGUCCACGCUGUAAACGGUGGGUACUAGGUGUGGGGUCCAUUCCACGGGUUCCGUGCCGUAGCUAACGCUUUAAGUACCCCGCCUGGGGAGUACGGCCGCAAGGCUAAAACUCAAAGGAAUUGACGGGGCCCCGCACAAGCGGCGGAGCAUGCGGAUUAAUUCGAUGCAACGCGUAGAACCUUACCUGGGUUUGACAUGGAUCGGGAGUGCCCAGAGAUGGGUGUGCCUCUUUUGGGGUCGGUUCACAGGUGGUGCAUGCCUGUCGUCAGCUCGUGUCGUGAGAUGUUGGGUUAAGUCCCGCAACGAGCGCAACCCUUGUUCACUGUUGCCAGCACGUUAUGGUGGGGACUCAGUGGAGACCGCCGGGGUCAACUCGGAGGAAGGUGGGGAUGACGUCAAGUCCUCAUGCCCCUUAUGUCCAGCGCUUCACGCAUGCUACAAUGGCUGGUACAGAGAGUGGCGAGCCUGUGAGGGUGAGCGAAUCUCGGAAAGCCGGUCUCAGUUCGGAUUGGGGUCUGCAACUCGACCUCAUGAAGUCGGAGUCGCUAGUAAUCGCAAAUCAGCAACGCUGCGGUGAAUACGUUCCCGGGGCU
rnacentral:rRNA from 1 species